UCCGUGCUUUGUGUCUACCCUUAUGAGAA
rnacentral:piRNA from 1 species